rnacentral:lncRNA from 1 species
AGCUGGGCUGAUGGCUGGUUUCUCUGAGAACACUGGUCUGUCUGUGGUGUUGGACAGGAGGAGAGCUCUCACCCUCUCACCUCUACCGCCAGAUACCUCCUGCCAGGUGCACUGGACUCAGUUUGCCCAUGUCCCCUCACUCAAGACGUCUGUGCAGAAGAAUGGCACCACCUCCUCCACCAAUCACACGCUGCAUCCUGAGAGGCGUGGCAGUGCCAGGCGAGAACUGCGGUUAGUUCUGAAUGACGUUCUGAAGACAAAAAUUGGGCGACAUUACCUGCAAGAGGGUGGGUGUGUCCAGUCGUCAGCGAGCCAAUCAGGGAAGAGCUGGAGAGAGAGCCAGACACCGCGGCAACAGGGUGGGUGUGGCCAGUCGUCAGCGAGCCAAUCAGAGAAGAGCUGGGGAGAGAGCCAGAGACCGCGGCACCAGAGUGGGUUUGACCAGUCACCAGUAAGCCAAUCAGCGAAGAGCUGGAGAGAGAGCCAGAGACCGCGGCAGCGGCCCAGACCAGCCGGGUUCCGAAGGAGGCGUGGCGAUCUCCAGCCCAAACGAAUCUAUUCCUCAGACGAGCUCCAGCCCAAACUAAUCUAUUCCCCAGACGAUCCCCAGCACACACAUGUCGAUUCAGCCAAGAUCAGAACUCUCCUUUUCCAAAGGUCCAAACCACCAGCCUCGGAACAGCCCAAACUGAUCAAUUCCUCCCGGUCGGAUCGGUCGGAUCACUCUGAACAGGCCAAACUGAUCAAUUCCUCCCGGUCGGAUCGGUCGGAUCGGUCGGAUCGGUCGGAUCACUCUGAACAGCCCAAACCAAUCAAUAGACCGAAAGCCAAACCAGAAUCCAGAUCCAUCGACUACUACUUCAAGUGUCAAACCCCCAACGCGGGCACACCGGAGUCGGUGGAGCGGGCCAAACCCAAACCAGCUCGCUCAGAACCACAACCCAGACCAGCUCGCUCAGAACCGCCGCCCAGACCAGCUCGCUCAGAACCACAACCCAGACCAGCUCGCUCAGAACCGCAACCCAGACCAGCUCGCUCAGAACCACAACCCAGACCAGCUCGCUCAGAACCGCCGCCCAAAUCCCUUAAUAACGCUCAAGGCCACCCAGGCCUGGGUACAGGACCACUACACUCCCCCUCCUCCUCGGGUCAGACCGCUACCGGUCAGCCCAAACACGCUGACCCCUCACAGUCCAAACUGGGGGGCCGCUCCAGGUCAGAACCACUCGCCUCCGGGUCGUCUGCACCAGGGGCCCGCACAGCCUCCGGUGCUGAGAAGCACUCCGAGCGGGCCGAAGCCCCAGCAGACUCUCCCAAGCCUCGCCCGGGCGUCUCGGGGCGGGCCGAAGCCAGCGACUCUCCCAAGCCUCGCCCGGGCGUCUCUGGGCGGUCCGAAGCCCCAGCAGACUCUCCCAAGCCUCGCCCGGGCGUCUCUGGGCGGUCCGAAGCCCCAGCAGAGGGGCCCGAUUCGGGUGAAGUGACCCGGUCUGAGUCCAGUCUACCGGAGAGAGGCAACUCGCGUCUGGUUCCUCCGACUCAGAUGCCUGAGGAUUCUCAUGAGUCAGGACCUGUGACCCACGGACGGCCUCCUGCAGCAGAGGAAGAGCACGCGAAGAGGAGGAGUUGUGAGAAUGGUGGCGAGAACAGGAAUGGCGUGAUGAGGGAGGAAGAGUGUGUGUUGAGGAAGAGUGUGCUGCGUCUCUCGGGAGAGAGUGCGGUGGUGAGCGGAGACGAAGAGCCGCCAAUCAAGUGUCCCCGCCUAGUGAGCCCAGCUGAAGAAGAGCCAAUCACGUGUCCCCGCCUAGUGAGCCCAGCUGAAGGACAGCCAAUCACGUGUCCCCGCCUAGUGAGCCCAGCUGAAGACCCGCCAAUCAAGUGUCCCAGUCUAGUGAGCCCAGCUGAAGAACAGCCAAUCAAUGCGGAAAGGCAGAGUUUGAUAAGGACCCCCUCUCACAACAGCCAAUCAGAGCUCAUUGUUCUCUCCAGUGAGGAAGAGUGUGAUGAAGAUGAGGCCGGUGAUCAAAAUGGCGCUGACGUUGCUGCUGAUGGUCAUGGCGGGGAUGAGGAGGACACCGACGACGAUGAGGAUGGUGGUGGUGAUGAUGAUGACGAGGAUGGUGGUGGUGAUGAUGACGAGGAUGGUGGUGGUGGUGGUGGUGGUGGUGGCAGUGAUAACUGCGAUGAAGAGGAGAAUGCUCUUCCUGGUCCCUCCACUAGACUAGAGGAGGCUCCGACAGACACCCAGAACACACACAUCUUUGACACACUCACAGAGGACCCUGAUUUUAACGGAGUUGAGCUGAGUCAUCUGCCUUCGGUUGAGCUGUCUUUCUCCGCCUUCUACAUGGGAGGAGUCAAGGCUCUGGCCAAUGGGAAAGUGGAGGUGGGUGUGGUCAUCAGAUCGAUCAGAGUUUGGGAAACUGAGCACAGGCGUGUGUGUGUGUGUGUGUGUGUGUGUGUGUGUGUGUGUGUGUGUGUGUGUGUGUGUGUGUGUGUGUGUGUGUGUGUGUGUUGGGCUAUGGCUAACAGUAGAGUGUGUGUGUGUGUGUGUGUGUGCGUGUGCGUGUGAUGUUCAAAGUUCGUAUAAAGCAAAUACGUAUGUGUUUGUCACGCGACAGAAAAAUGUGUUAUUGACCACCCAGCCAAAAACCCCAGAGUGAUUGAUGCCUGGUGCAGUCAAAGUUUCAGAGCAGACAAUACUGCUUAUGUUGAGUAGUGGGGUUUCAGUACGUGAUCAAUACUGCUUAUGUUGAGUAGGGUACGUGAUCAAUACUGUUUAUGUUGAGUAGGGUACGUCAUCAAUACUGCUUAUGUUGAAUAGGGGUUCCAUACGUCAUCAAUACUGCUUAUGUUGAAUAGGGUACGUCAUCAAUACUGCUUAUGUUGAGUAGGGGGUCGUUCCAGUACGUCAUCAAUACUGCUUAUGUUGAGUAGUGGUUCCAAUACGUCAUCAAUACUGCUUAUGUUGAGUAGGGGUUCCAGUACACACACACACACAC